CUGCGACUGGUGUAAUGGUAGCGCACCUGGCUUAUAUCCAGUUAGUCGAAGUCCGAUUCUUCGGUCGCAGACCA
rnacentral:tRNA from 1 species